CAGCCCCUCGAGUGGUGGGGGAUGAUUAUUUGGCCUAAAGCGUCCGUAGCCGGCUCGGUAAAUCUCUCGUUAAAUCCAGCGUCCUAAGCGUUGGGCUGCGAGGGAGACUGCCGAGCUAGAGGGUGGGAAAGGUCAGCGGUAUUUCUGGGGUAGGGGCGAAAUCCAUUGAUCCCAGGAGGACCACCAGUGGCGAAGGCUGCUGACUAGAACACGCCUGACGGUGAGGGACGAAGGCUGGGGUAGCGAAUCGGAUUAGAUACCCGAGUAGUCCCAGCCGUAAACGAUGCAGGCUAGGUGUUGGGCCGGCCACGCGCCGGCUCAGUGCCACAGGGAAGCCAUUAAGCCUGCCGCCUGGGGAGUACGGUCGCAAAGGCUG
rnacentral:rRNA from 1 species